UACGUAGGGUGCGAGCGUUGUCCGGAAUUAUUGGGCGUAAAGGGCUCGUAGGCGGUCUGUCACGUCUGGCGUGAAAACUCGGGGCUCAACCCCGAGCCUGCUUCCGAUACGGGCAGACUAGAGGUAUGCAGGGGAGAAUGGAAUUCCUGGUGUAGCGGUGAAAUGCGCAGAUAUCAGGAGGAACACCGGUGGCGAAGGCGGUUCUCUGGGCAUUACCUGACGCUGAGGAGCGAAAGUGUGGGGAGCGAACAGG
rnacentral:rRNA from 1 species